UGGUGAAUAUAUAUUAUACAGAAUAUCAUAUAUAUUUAUAAAAAAUUAUAUAAGACAUCAGAAAAUAAUGAUAAUGUUCUUUCUUUAUUCUAUGGAGGAAAGAUAUUUUCGUCACUAAAAAAUGAAGAAAGAAAAAAAAUAAAUGAUAUUAAAUAUCUGUCCCACCAUUAACUGCACUAUGUAGUCUAAUAUGAUUGAGCAG
rnacentral:lncRNA from 1 species